CCAGUGCUCAUCCCUCACAAGGAAUAGCUUCAGUCUGCUUUAAACACUGGGCCACACCCCAAAUCUCUACACGUCCUCUCGGUGUUUACCUGGAGACCCAAAGCUAUGAUGAUGAUUGACACCGUGUUUCCUGGCUGGGAGGUCCGUGGUUGCCCUGUCCCCAUGUGUAAGGAUCAAGGGAAGUGAUAACCUUCAUCCAGUACUAACGGAAGCAGAUGCAGAGAUCCACAGCUAAGCACUUUGUGGAGCUCCCGGAGUCCAGUUGAAGCAAAGGAGGAGAGAUUAUAUGAGCAAAGGGGACAAGAUCAUGAUGGGGAAUCCCACAGAGACCUGAGCUAAUGGGAGCUCACUGACUCUGGACUGACAACUGGGGAACCUGCAUGGGACCGAACUAGGCCCUCUGAAUGUGGGUGACAGUUGUGUGACUUGGACAAUUUAUGGGGCCACUGGCAGUGGCACCAGGAUUUAUCCUUCGUGCACGAACUGGCUUUU